GAGAUGGAGGGAGAGCUCCCCCAACAGCCACACAGCCACACACAACACACACACAUACACGUGUGUGUGUGCACGUUUGUGGCAGCUCAAACGAAGCCUUGGCUGAGGACAGACAAGGUGCUUUUGCCUCCUAGGCUGACCUGACCCAUAAGGGACCAGCCACAGAGAACUUCCGAAUUCCUCACAACCAAUGAGUUAAGGGCUUGCUUGUUGGCAACAGAUAAGCAAAAGCUUAAAAUAAUGCCUUCAGGACCAAAAUACUUGAGUGCCCCUUUCCCCCUGCCUGGCAGGGGAAGUGGUCCAGGCACUGCACAGCUCAGCUAUAGCCUUUACAGUGUCUCCAGGCCUCCAACUCCAGUUCUGGCUCCAUUGCCUUACCCGUGGGAUCCUUGAGCCUCAGUGCCCCCUCCAUGGAAUGUGAUAUACUUGGUGUAGCACCUGGCACAGGGUGAAAC
rnacentral:lncRNA from 1 species